AAAACUUUCAACAACGGA
rnacentral:rRNA from 3 species